rnacentral:rRNA from 1 species
UUGGUUAAGUUAGAAAGGGCGCACGGUGGAUGCCUUGGCACUAGGAGCCGAAGAAGGACGGGACUAACACCGAUAUGCUUUGGGGAGCUGUACGUAAGCGUUGAUCCAGAGAUUUCCGAAUGGGGGAACCCACUAUCUUUAGUCGGAUAGUAUCCUUACGUGAAUACAUAGCGUGAGGAAGGCAGACCCAGGGAACUGAAACAUCUAAGUACCUGGAGGAAGAGAAAGAAAAAUCGAUUUCCUGAGUAGCGGCGAGCGAAACGGAAAGAGCCCAAACCAAGAAGCUUGCUUCUUGGGGUUGUAGGACACUCUAUACGGAGUUACAAAAGAAAGUUAUAAAUGAAGCGGUCUGGAAAGGCCCGCCAAAGACGGUAACAGCCCGGUAGUUGAAAUGGCUUUCCCUCCAGAGUGGAUCCUGAGUACGGCGGAACACGUGAAAUUCCGUCGGAAUCCGGGAGGACCAUCUCCCAAGGCUAAAUACUCCCUAGUGACCGAUAGUGAACCAGUACCGUGAGGGAAAGGUGAAAAGCACCCCGGAAGGGGAGUGAAACAGUUCCUGAAACCGUGUGCCUACAAGUAGUUAGAGCCCGUUAAUGGGUGAUAGCGUGCCUUUUGUAGAAUGAACCGGCGAGUUACGAUUUGUUGCAAGGUUAAGCGGAAAAAGCGGAGCCGUAGCGAAAGCGAGUCUGAAUAGGGCGCAUAAGUAACAGGUCGUAGACCCGAAACCAGGUGAUCUACCCAUGUCCAGGAUGAAGGUAAGGUAAUACUUACUGGAGGUCCGAACCCACGCACGUUGAAAAGUGCGGGGAUGAGGUGUGGGUAGCGGAGAAAUUCCAAUCGAACUUGGAGAUAGCUGGUUCUCUCCGAAAUAGCUUUAGGGCUAGCCUCGAGGUAAAGAGUCAUGGAGGUAGAGCACUGUUUGGACUAGGGGCCCUUCUCGGGUUACCGAAUUCAGAUAAACUCCGAAUGCCAUGUACUUAUACUCGGGAGUCAGACUGCGAGUGAUAAGAUCCGUAGUCGAAAGGGAAACAGCCCAGACCACCAGUUAAGGUCCCCAAAUAUAUGUUAAGUGGAAAAGGAUGUGGGGUUGCUUAGACAACCAGGAUGUUGGCUUAGAAGCAGCCACCAUUGAAAGAGUGCGUAAUAGCUCACUGGUCGAGUGACCCCGCGCCGAAAAUGUACCGGGGCUAAACAUAUUACCGAAACUGUGGAUGAACCUCUUUAGAGGUUCGUGGUAGGAGAGCGUUCUAAGGGCGGUGAAGUCAGACCGGAAGGACUGGUGGAGCGCUUAGAAGUGAGAAUGCCGGUAUGAGUAGCGAAAGAAGGGUGAGAAUCCCUUCCACCGAAUAUCUAAGGUUUCCUGAGGAAGGCUCGUCCGCUCAGGGUUAGUCGGGACCUAAGCCGAGGCCGAUAGGCGUAGGCGAUGGACAACAGGUAGAGAUUCCUGUACCAGUGCUAAUUGUUUAACCGAUGGGGUGACACAGAAGGAUAGGGAAUCGCACGAAUGGAAAUGUGCGUCCAAGCAGUGAGUGUGAGAAGUAGGCAAAUCCGCUUCUCGCGAAGCAUGAGCUGUGAUGGGGAAGGAAAUUAAGUACGGAAGUUCCUGAUUUCACGCUGUCAAGAAAAGCCUCUAGGAAGAGUAGUACUGCCCGUACCGCAAACCGACACAGGUAGAUGAGGAGAGAAUCCUAAGGUGAGCGAGAGAACUCUCGUUAAGGAACUCGGCAAAAUGAC